GGGUGAGUACACGUGACUAACCUACCUUUUAGUGGGGGAUAACCCCGGGAAACCGGGGCUAAUACCGCAUAACCGCAAGCAAAGCAGCGCUGGAAGAGGGGGUCGCGGCUGAUUAGCUAGUUGGCGGGGUAACGGCCCACCAAGGCGAAGAUCGGUAUCCGGCCUGAGAGGGCGCACGGACACACUGGAACUGAAACACGGUCCAGACUCCUACGGGAGGCAGCAGUGGGGAAUUUUGCACAAUGCCCGAAAGGGUGAUGCAGCAACGCCGCGUGAGGGAUGAAGGCCUUCGGGUCGUAAACCUCUUUCGAUCGGGAAAAAUGAUGGUUCCGGAUGAAGAAAGCCCGGCUAACUACGUGCCAGCAGCCGCGGUAAUACGUAGGGGGCGAGCGUUGUUCGGAAUUACUGGGCGUAAAGGGCGUGUAGGCGGUGCGAUAAGUCGGGCGUGAAAUCCCCGGGCUUAACCCGGGGCGGUCGCUCGAAAC
rnacentral:rRNA from 1 species